GAUAAAUCCAUUAAAAAUAUAAUACAAAUAUUGUUUCAGUAGAAUAAAUAGUAUUUUUAGACACAGCUUGGACACAGCAUUAUUUUUACAUUAAAAAAUUAUCACCUUGUUAUUUACAUGUGUUCAAACUGACAACAUUGACAGUGUGUCAUUUUCCGUUGUACUCGCAGCAUGUCCUGGCUCUUACAAUUUUCGAAUUUUCUGAUUUUCUGUGGAACAAGUGGUUUUUCUGUGCAUUAUAUUAGUUUAUGUUGUUCCUUAAGCCUUGUUACACCUCCUGAAAAUGAGCGUUAUUAAUACACCAUACCACACCGAUAAAUACCACCUAAAAGGAGAUACCUAGGUUACCCUUUAUCUAAUCCAGAUGUUUGGCCAUCAUUCUGAUUUACGAGAUUGGUUUUCUAUUAUAUAUGAUUGAAAAUUUUGUACAACAAAUCAAUGGAUGUAUGCAGUUCCAGGACAGUUAAUUGAUCCUUUUGAUGAAUAUUACCAAUAAUGAAUCAGGAAAUCAAUUUUCCUGCUCCUAUUGACCAGAUAUCUCUAUUUGUUUUUAAUACUUAAAACUUCUUUCCCAUUUUGCAUUUUGGCCUACCUCUCAUUUUUUUAUCUGUCAUAUUUUUUUACUAUUGGAAUAUCAUCAUUGUCAACUCUAUAAAUUCUUUCAGUGAUUGUCUUAAACAUUUACAUAUUUUUUGUCAUUCUUCUGAUUGUUUUCUAAUACAUAUUUCAUCAAUCUAUUGCCUGUAUAGAAUUAUAGCUUUUUUCCAUUUUUUCCAACUAUUUGUCCAAACUAAAAUUUAUUUAUUAUUUUAUUAUUAACGAUUUCCAACUAUUGUAUCCAAAAUAAUUCUAUAAUUUUUUGUGUCAUUCUUCUGAGACUUUAUCACUCAUUUUCAUGCAAUUUUUUUAAUUCCUCGUAUCUCUAUUUCUUUAUUUGUCUCCUAUAUUAUAUUCAUUGUAUGAAAUCUAUUAUUCUAUGUAUUACUGAAUUACCUGUCAUCAU